rnacentral:rRNA from 1 species
GAUAAACGCUGGCGGCGUGCUUUAUGCAUGCAAGUCGAACGGUCUGAUGUUCCAAGCUUGCUUGGGAUGCCAGAUAGUGGCGAACGGGUGAGUAACGCGUAAGUAACCUGCCCCUAAGUAAGGAAUAACUCUGAGAAAUUAGAGCUAAUACCAUAUAUGGUGAUGGAGGUAAUGCUUCAUCACUAAAGCUUUAGGGCGCUUAGGGAGGGGCUUGCGUCCGAUUAGCUAGUUGGUAGGGUAAUGGUUUACCAAGGCGAUGAUCGGUAGCUGGUUUGAGAGGACAUCCAGCCACACUGGGACUUAGAUACGGCCCAGACUCCUACGGGAGGCAGCAGCAAGGAAUUUUGUGCAAUGGGCGAAAGCCUGGCACAGCGACGCCGCGUGGGGGAUGAAGGCCCUCGGGCUGUAAACCCCUUUUCUCAGGGAAGAAUAAUGACGGUACCUGAGGAGUAAGUCUUGGCUAACUACGUGCCAGCAGCCGCGGUAAUACGUAGGAGGCGAGCGUUAUCCGGAUUUACUGGGCGUAAAGAGGGCGUAGGCGGUUUUUCAAGUCGAUUGUAAAAUCUCCCGGCUUAACUGGGAGGGGCCAUUCGAUACUGUUGGACUAGAGGGCAGCAGGAGGAGGUGGAAUUCCCGGUGGAGUGGUGAAAUGUGUAGAUAUCGGGAGGAACACCAGUGGCGAAAGCGGCCUCCUAGGCUGUUUCUAACGCUGAGGCCCGAAAGCGUGGGUAGCAAACAGGAUCAGAUACCCUGGUAGUCCACGCCGUAAACGAUGGACACUAGGUAUAGGGAGUAUCGACCCUCUCUGUGCCGAAGCUAACGCAUUAAGUGUCCCGCCUGGGGAGUACGGCCGCAAGGCUA